GACGAACCGUGCGAACGUUGUUCGGAUUCACUGGGCUUAAAGGGCGCGUAGGCGGACAAGCAAGUCAGGGGUGAAAUCUUUCAGCUUAACUGGAAACGUGCCUCAGAUACUGCUUGUCUCGAGGGAGGCAGGGGCAUGCGGAACUUCCGGUGGAGCGGUGAAAUGCGUAGAUAUCGGAAGGAACGCCGGUGGCGAAAGCGGCGUGCUGGACCUCUUCUGACGCUGAGGCGCGAAAGCUAGGGGAGCGAACGGG
rnacentral:rRNA from 1 species